AUUGAACGCUGGCGGCAUGCCUUACACAUGCAAGUCGAACGGCAGCACGGGAGCAAUCCUGGUGGCGAGUGGCGAACGGGUGAGUAAAGUAUCGGAACGUGCCCAGUCGUGGGGGAUAACGUAGCGAAAGUUACGCUAAUACCGCAUACGAUCUAUGGAUGAAGGCGGGGGAUCGCAAGACCUCGCGCGAUUGGAGCGGCCGAUAUCAGAUUAGGUAGUUGGUGGGGUAAAGGCUCACCAAGCCGACGAUCUGUAGCUGGUCUGGGAGGACGACCGGCCACACUGGGAGUGAGACACGGCCCAGACUCCUACGGGAGGCAGCAGUGGGGAAUUUUAGUAAAUGGGCGCAAGCCUGAUCCAGCCAUGCCGCGUGCAGGAUGAGGGCCGUCGGGUUGUAAACUGCUUUUGUACGGAACGAAAAGGUUUGACUUAAUACGUUGGACUCAUGACGGUACCGUAAGAAUAAGCACCGGCUAACUACGUGCCAGCCGCCGCAGUAA
rnacentral:rRNA from 1 species